rnacentral:lncRNA from 1 species
AUGUGUCUUCACUUACAACCGACGGCCCUUCCCACGGGAAGGCAGCUGGCAGGGCGCGCCCGCAACCAGUGCGAACUUAACCUCACACACCAGGUUAUCGCUGCAAAGGAGCGGACAGAUCGCUGCUGUUUUCCGCCGCCUCCCUUGCCUGGAGUUUUGUUCACCACACCCCUCGGUUCCGGAGCUGAUCUCUGUAACCACUGCCUGCGCCUAGAGGGCAGUAGCGACAGCCCAGUUCCAGACGGAGCGGGGGCGCAGAAGCACACCGCGGGCGGCGGCGUAGAAACCGAAGCAGACUCAGAAAAACAACUGCAAACCCCCAGACUGGGUGGUUCCUUCAAAGGCAAACUCGCAAGACUCCAAGGCGUCCAGGCUCCAGGAUGGAACAGACGACUGGUGGGACAGCUCCGAGGUCUGUGCGUGGCUAGUGUCUAUCAUCCGAUGGCUGGGUCUAGGCUGAAGGCCUUGGUCAAGCCCAUGCUAACUAAUUAUAGAGAAGCAGUUACUGCAAAAUUUCCCGAGGAAACCAAAGCUAGGGUUUGGUUUCCACUUACAUUGAGUAACUUCCUUCCAGGGCACUCAGCCUCUUCAACAAAGCAUUCUCUUUCAACAUAGGCGAGUCCGGUAACACACAAGGGUUGUGAUUGUACGUUUGACAUAAAUAUAUACACGCACUUUCAGGAGGAAGCUGGGCCCAUGGUUACUCUCUCUCUCUCUGGUGGGGAUGUUUACCUAAGUUUGAUUGCUCACCUUAAAAAUCUUAAGAACGUGGGCUAGGUUGAGGUCAUAGUUCAUGGGCAAUGUGGAGGCAAGGGACGGUGAAAGAUACAAUGUCGGUUUCAACUAACGGGUGUUACAUCGAGCCCCUGAGGACAUUUCACAUUUCACUGCGGCCACCUACAAACAAUUUAAACCCACACUAAAGUGGUCCGAGGCUUUCAUUACCUAUAGGCUUCUUCUCAAAGUUGUGUCUCCUUUGCGGGAUACCUGAGCCCCUGGUACCCCCCAGCCCAGCCCAUCCACUAGCCCCCCCACCCUGCCCCCAGCACACUGGGCUCGACACUCAACCAGCCUAGCCUGGCCCUGAGAAGAACAGAAAACAUUUAACUAAAGUGGUUGCCCCAAAAAGGCCCAUAUUCCUGGGUUCGCUUUCUUCUGACCUGUUCCUAGCUCUGUUUGGACUGGUUUUCGUUGAUGGGCUACACGAACGAUUUUCAGGUUUUCCAAGUCUUUUCCCUUUCUGUGGAUACUUUGGUCUAAAUUUCCCAACCACCGCUACCUGUUGGUUAUCAUUUUUGCCAAACCUUGACCUCCAGGUUGCUAAUUCAUUCUCCGUCUCUCUCUCUGUCUCCCUGUCUUUGUCUCUAUAUAUACAGUCUCCACAAAUAACUUCUAACUUUAACUUUUUCUAUCCCUAAAGGAACAACUGUAGUCAAAAAUAGCCCAUUGAACGUAGCCGUCUUUACUUAAAAAUUUUUUUUUGAAUGUUUAUUUACUUUUGAGAGAGAGAGAGAGAGAGAGAGAGAGAGAGAGAGAGCAAGUGGGGGAGGGGCAGAGACACAGAAUCUGACACAGGCUCCAGGCUCUGAGCUGUGAGCACAGAGACCCGAUAUGGGGCUUGAACUCAUGAACCAUGAGAUCAUGACCUGAACCAAAGUCGAACGAUUAACCGACCGAGCCACCUAGGUGCCCCAAACCUAUCUGUCUUUAAACAGCAGAGUUCUCUGGGGUGAUUGUCGUGGGGACUCCUGGGACCUGUAUCAUCCCCAACAGAAAUGCUCUGUAGAGUAGUGGCUGUCAGUGUGGUCAGGCUGAGUGUUGGGCUACUAGACAUGAAUCCAUGGGGAUUCCGACCAAAAGUACCCUGGGUGGUGUGAUGGUGCAUGUCAGGGGAGAGAGACAGAGUCAAGAACUCUUACCAAGGGGCUUCUGUCAGUAUAGACAGGACCCAAAAGUGAAUGAGCUGUUUGUUUUAUCGCGUAGACAAAAUAUUCUCUCCCUUUGGGAGUCUGUGUAGAUGACGGUUCUGACCAUGGAUAUUUACUUGCACAAUCCAGGAAGGACCUAGGAAGUGACAGGGUCGAAAUUCCAACCUCCACAGUUGUCUGCAGUGGUUUCUAGUCGUCCCGUGGAACAUCCACCCUGCUAAAUGUGAAUUUUGCACAUAACUUCCCUGACUCAAACCUGCCUUCACCUCUGUGGUCACUCCUUUCGUGUCUAAUUACUCCCAGUCACCCAUACACUUGGUGGGAUUUAGGAGCCACCGCUCUACGGGCCCCAGGUUCCAGAAGGUUACGCGUAAUGAUACAUUUAUUAUGCACCGAGCACUUUUUUUGAGCCCUUAACAAUGCUCUACCUCAGGUAACGCCAGAACAACCCUAUAAGGUAAGUGCUUUUAUAGCCCUCAUUUCUUAAAGGAAAACUCUACACCCAGUGUGGGGCUUAAACUCAUGACUCCAAGAUCAGGAGUUGCACACUCUACCAACUGAGCCAGCCAGGCACCCUAUAUAACCCUCAUUUAAAAAAAAAUAUUUUAGGCAACUGAGGCUAGUAGCUUAUUCAUGGACCCCCAGUCAGGAACAUGAUGAAUGUGGGAUUUGAAAGCCAGGUAGUCUGAUUGGCAUCUCAACUUUUUUUUUUUUUUUUUCAUCACGUUAGUUCACAUACAGUGUAGUCUUGGCUUCAGGAGUAGAACCCAGUGAUUCAUCACUUACAUUUAACACCCAGUGCUCAUCCCGAAAGGUGCCCCCCUUAAUGCCUGUCACCCAUUUAGCCCAUCCCCCCCACCCAACGCCUCUCCAGCAACCCUCAGCUUGUUGUCUGCAUUUAAGAGUCUCUUACGGUUUGUCUCCCAUCUUUGUUUUUAUCUUAUUUUUCCUUGUCUACCCUUAUGUUUGAAACUCUGUGGAGUUUCUCAAAUUCCACAUAUGAGUGAAAUCGUAAGAUAUGUUUGUCUCUGAUCUCAGGUUGUUUUCAUGUUUAUUUUUUUUGAGGAGGGGAGGGGCAGAGAAAGAGAGAGAAAAAAAAAAGAAAGGGAGACAGAGAAUCCCAAGCAGGCUCCUCGUUGUCAGCGCAGAGCCUGACAUGGGGCUUGAACUCACAAAACCACGAGAUUGUGAAUUGAGUUGAAAUCAAGAGUCAGAGGCUUAACUGACUGAGCCACCCAGGUGCCCCCAUACCUCGGCUUUAAUUCCGACACAGCAGCAGUAAAGAGCACGUUCUUGGAGCCAACCUUCCCAGGCUCAGAACCCAGCUCUUCAACAUACUAUCUGUGAGAUCUUGAGUGAGUGUCCCCACCUGUAAAAUGGAGCAGUAAUAAUAACACCUCCUGCAGGUGGUUGAGACGAUUAGAUCACUGAGAGGUAAAACGUGCCCGGCACAUCGCAAGGACCGUACGGGCUCACCUCUAUUUUUCUACGCUACACCUGCCUCCAUGUUUCAACCCCUGCCUUUAACACUAGCUUUUUAAACGUUUUUAAACGUUUCAUUUUAAAAAAAAAUAUCAACUGAACGAAAAAAUAAAAAAAUAAAAAUAAAAAAUAUCA